rnacentral:rRNA from 1 species
UACGGGGGGGGCAAGCGUUGUCCGGAGUUACUGGGCGUAAAGGGCACGCAGGCGGUGCGGCGCGUUUCGCGUGACAGCGGAGGGCUUAACUCUCCGAGGAUGCGAAAGACGGCGGCACUUGAGGGCCAGAGAGGGACACGGAAUUCCGGGUGGAGUGGUGAAAUGCGUAGAGAUCCGGAGGAACACCGAAGGCGAAGGCAGUGUCCUGGCUGGUGACUGACGCUGAGGUGCGAAAGCUAGGGGAGCGAACGGG